ACGGAGGGUGCAAGCGUUAUCCGGAUUCACUGGGUUUAAAGGGUGCGUAGGUGGGCAAGUAAGUCAGUGGUGAAAUCUCCGGGCUUAACCCGGAAACUGCCAUUGAUACUAUUUGUCUUGAAUACUGUGGAGGUCAGCGGAAUAUGUCAUGUAGCGGUGAAAUGCUUAGAUAUGACAUAGAACACCAAUUGCGAAGGCAGCUGGCUACACAAAUAUUGACACUGAGGCACGAAAGCGUGGGGAUCAAACAGGA
rnacentral:rRNA from 1 species